AGAUUGAACGCUGGCGGCAGGCCUAACACAUGCAAGUCGAGCGGUAGAGAGGUGCUUGCAUCUCUUGAGAGCGGCGGACGGGUGAGUAAUGCCUAGGAAUCUGCCUAGUGGUGGGGGAUAACGUUCGGAAACGGACGCUAAUACCGCAUACGUCCUACGGGAGAAAGCGGGGGACCUUCGGGCCUCGCGCCAUUAGAUGAGCCUAGGUCGGAUUAGCUAGUUGGUGAGGUAAUGGCUCACCAAGGCGACGAUCCGUAACUGGUCUGAGAGGAUGAUCAGUCACACUGGAACUGAGACACGGUCCAGACUCCUACGGGAGGCAGCAGUGGGGAAUAUUGGACAAUGGGCGAAAGCCUGAUCCAGCCAUGCCGCGUGUGUGAAGAAGGUCUUCGGAUUGUAAAGCACUUUAAGUUGGAGGAAGGUUGUAACCUAAUACGUUGCAACUUUGACGUUACGACAGAAUAAGCACCGGCUAACUCGUGCCAGCAGCCGA
rnacentral:rRNA from 1 species